CUGGUCUGAGGAGGGAGGACAACUGCAUAAUUUACCGGACCCAAAGUGACAUUAGAGUGUUUUGGUGAAUCACACAGACUUAAGAGGGCUCGUAACUCAAGCUGCCUUGUUGCCACUUGACAAUUAACC